AGUUGAGGAUGAUGAUAAUUCAGAAUCAGACGAGGGUACGACUGAGACAUUUUCAGAGGAUGAAAAGAGGCGGCCUCUAAGCAGAACAGCCGUAAUAUGUACCUGUUGUUUUUGUGUGAAGCAAGAUGUU